rnacentral:rRNA from 1 species
AGUGAACGCUGGCGGUAGGCCUAACACAUGCAAGUCGAACGGCAGCACAGGAGAGCUUGCUCUCUGGGUGGCGAGUGGCGGACGGGUGAGGAAUACAUCGGAAUCUGCCCAGUCGUGGGGGAUAACGUAGGGAAACUUACGCUAAUACCGCAUACGACCUUCGGGUGAAAGAGGGGGAUCGCAAGACCUCUCGCGAUUGGAUGAGCCGAUGUCGGAAUAGCUAGUUGGCGGGGUAAUGGCCCACCAAGGCGACGAUCCGUAGCUGGUCUGAGAGGAUGAUCAGCCACACUGGAACUGAGACACGGUCCAGACUCCUACGGGAGGCAGCAGUGGGGAAUAUUGGACAAUGGGCGCAAGCCUGAUCCAGCCAUACCGCGUGGGUGAAGAAGGCCUUCGGGUUGUAAAGCCCUUUUGUUGGGAAAGAAAUCUUUCAGGCUAAUACCCUGGGAGGAUGACGGUACCCAAAGAAUAAGCACCGGCUAACUUCGUG